CAUGCUCAGCUCUAACUGUAAACAUACUGUACUGGGUACCAAAGGAACGAAGCCUUGCUAAUUGAAGGCUAUGGAGUCUGCUUUAUCGACUGUUUGGUACAGAACACUGCUGGCUGAAUACUGUAUAUGAACAAGCAAGACAGACUGAAGUCUCAGAGAGCUCUUUCCUCGCAAUUGUCUCUGCGUGGCUUACAGGACAGAAUAUGAGAAUAACCCAGCACAAGGCAGUGUGAAAGGAAACCUGAAUCUAUUUACCAUUAAGAAGCCCUGGACUGAACU